rnacentral:rRNA from 1 species
GCAUAGCUGUAAACUUUAAUGAACUAUUACAUUAUCAUUCGCCAGGGUACUACGAGCACCAGCUUAAAACCCAAAGGACUUGGCGGUGCUUUAGACCCACCUAGAGGAGCCUGUUCUAGAACCGAUAACCCCCGUUAAACCUCACCCUCUCUUGUUCUUUCCGCCUAUAUACCGCCGUCGUCAGCUUACCCUGUGAAGGGCAAAUAGUAAGCAAAACCAGUAACACUUAAAACGUCAGGUCGAGGUGUAGCAUAUGAGAGGGGAAGAAAUGGGCUACAUUCCUUGCCCCAAGGAAAACGGAUAGUAUAAUGAAAGGUAUACUAGAAGGAGGAUUUAGCAGUAAGCAAAAAAUAGAGAGUUCUGCUGAAACUGGCCCUGAAGCGCGC